GGGCUUGUAACAUAUCAGAUUUUGAUAUAAAAGUAAAAAAUAAAUAAAAAUAGUGUGAGAUACUAUUUUUAUUGGAUUUAGAGAAGUAAAAUAUAAGUCAGAAACGACUCGCGCUGAAAUGGGAACGAAAAUAGAAGAUUUAGAAUUUUCUGUGAGAAACGCAGCUGAUAUUUUAGCAAAAAAUGCAGUGUCAGAAAAUUAUGAAAACUGGAGAAUAUGUCGGAAUUAUUUCUAUGAGGCUAGAUUUAAAGUUCCAUGUCAUUCUGACACCCGGAAGGUGAAAAAUAAAAUCCAACUGCUAUCUGCUAGAGAUUACAGUUCGGUGGAGCUUUCGGUGACCAAAAAUGGUCGAAACUGGAAAGUUAAGAUAUUUUCUUU
rnacentral:lncRNA from 1 species